AUACUUACCUGGCAGGGGAGAUACCAUGAUCAUGAAGGUGGUUCUCCCAGGGCGAGGCUCAUCCAUUGCACUCCGGGUGUGUUGACCCCUGCGAUUUCCCCAAAUGCGGGAAACUCGACUGCAUAAUUUCUGGUAGUGGGGGACUGCGUUCGCGCUUUCCCCUG
rnacentral:snRNA from 1 species